rnacentral:rRNA from 1 species
UACGAAGGGGACUAGCGUUGUUCGGAAUUACUGGGCGUAAAGCGCACGUAGGCGGACUUGUAAGUCAGGGGUGAAAUCCCGGGGCUCAACCUCGGAACUGCCUUUGAUACUGCGAGUCUCGAGUCCGAUAGAGGUGGGUGGAAUUCCUAGUGUAGAGGUGAAAUUCGUAGAUAUUAGGAAGAACACCGGUGGCGAAGGCGGCUCACUGGCCCGCAACUGACGCUGAGGCGCGAAAGCGUGGGGAGCAAACAGG